UCUCCGCUGGUGAACCAGCGGAGGGAUCAUUACCGAGUUUACAACUCCCAAACCCCUGUGAACAUACCAUUUGUUGCCUCGGCGGUGCCUGCUUCGGCAGCCCGCCAGAGGACCCAAACCCUUGAUUUUAUACAGUAUCUUCUGAGUAAAUGAUUAAAUAAAUCAAAACUUUCAACAACGGAUCUCUUGGUUCU
rnacentral:misc_RNA from 1 species